rnacentral:tmRNA from 1 species
GGGGAUGAUAUAGCAUUUGAUAGUAGGAAUUCGUAUACUCUAUGUGCGUAUCCGGGGCGGUCUCGCCUCGAUAUCAAAGAGACAAAACACAACUGACAAAACGUCACCUCUCGCGCGACUCGCUGCGGGAAUGAAGGUAAAAGCUCCUUCUCUUGCUGUUGCCUAGUCUAUUUUUCUAGCACAGCGUAGCCUUUCUUAUAAGAAUGAGUGCCAAAUGGCCUGCUACACACUCUUGUACUUGCCUCUAUACGGGUACAAGAAAAUUUUUAUAGAGCGUUUUCUUGCAGUUUUUUAUUAUUAUCCUGACAAGUCAAUGUACAUAAUAUAAUAAUCGCAGUAUCUUUUUUGGAAUUUUUCUUGUCAUACUGUGUAUCCAAAAAUUCCUAUGAUAUGUAGACUCAUAGACUCUACCCUAUUAGACGCGGGGGCAGUACCCGCCAUCUCCACCA